CGUCGCGAGGCGGAAUCUGAAGAAAGCCGGAUUUGGAGGGUUGAAAGGUCCCUUCAUGGGCAAAGCCCUGGCCCGACGAACAGAAAUCUUGUCAGGCCGUAAGCGAGGGUAAGACUGCAACACAAGCCAAAGCCCAAUAGCUGCACGGAAUCGCUUGCGGUGAACAAGGCGGGUAUAA
rnacentral:ncRNA from 1 species